UACUUGAUACUUAUUUUAUGCAAAUGUGUCGCUGCCUAUAAAACAAAAGACAUGUUGUAGUAAAUUUUUUCCACUCAAAUAAAAGCAAAAAAAAAUAAUAGCGUAUUUGCAAUGUAGAGGACAAUGAAAGUAUGAAAAUCAGUUAUCUUUUUUUUGGCUUAAUUUCACAAACAUAUCCUAAAUUAUUGCAUUUUAUCACUUUCACCCCUCAUAUUGACCCAUUAACUAUUUAAGUGUAUCACUUUCCAUUACUAAUCUGUUUAAAAUAGUGAUGAAAAUCAAUCACAUGUUAUCUAUGUGCUUAAAUUAAAUGCCCUUAUAUCUAAAAUAUUUAAAUAAAUCAACGCUCUAUUUAAAAGUUUAUUAAUAAGGGUUAGAUUUGUUUUCAAUGGCUGAAUAAGCCUGUAUAUAUAGAGUAUUGACUUAUUUUUUACAAAAUAAUAAUUGUAUUUUAGAUAUAAUGAUAUUUAAUUUAAGUUAAUGGACAACAAAAAAACACGUGAUGAUUUUUAUAAUAUUACAAACAGAUGUAGUAACGACAGGAGUGUAAGUAAUAAAUUAAAUAGUUGUUAAAGGGAUAAUAUGAGUUAUACAGUUUUAGGAUUGCAAUUGAGUGAAGUGAUAAAAGACAAUAGUUUAGAGAAUGUUUGUGAAAUUAAAUUUUUUUUUUAUAGUCAAAAUAGUAAUUUUGAGUUGAGGAAAAAAUAAAAAAAAAAAAAAAAGCUCACCAAGGCCUAGACAAAUACAUCUUUUUCAGUUGUCUUUACAUUACCAGAAACAAUCAAAUAGCCACAACAAUAAACGAAGAUCACAUCAAAUGCCCCUUUCAGGAACACAUCAAGUCAAAUUUCCCAUCUUCAGCAUCUGUCCCUCUCUAUUCUAAAAUUAUUUUCCUCUCUCUAAAUUUGAUCAAUCAACCGGCAACAUACCGUCGGCGUCCUUCUCCAUCUACCUCCAGUGUACAUCUACCUCCACUGUAUUUGAAUUAAGGAUCUAAUAUAAAAAAUAAAAUAAAAAAGUAAUAAAAUAGAUGUUACAAUUAACAUUUUUUCUUAGUCAUGAUAAAUAAAACUGAACGAGCCAAACAGUAAAUAAAUUUAGUUUGAAAAAAUUAUCAAAUUCAUAAAAUGUGUUCGAGUAUAGUUUAUUUUUUAAUCGAAUCAGGAUUGAAUAGCUUAAAUUUUUUAAGCAUUAUUAUAAGAUUAUUAAGCUGAGUCGGUGAUUGUUUAAACUUGAUUUGAAAACUUAAUAAAGUUUAAAAAAUAUAUAAAUUUGUUUAUUUAACAAACCGAUCUUAACUUGAUCUCCAGUGGAGCUUAAGUAUCUGAGUUCAUUUAUCAAUUGUAUUUUUCUCUUGAACAAGAAAGAAGAAGGAAAACCUAGGUCACACAAUCUGUGGGUGUUGGCCCUCAAAUUGCGCUUCAAGUCAACAAUAUACAAUCCGUGAAUGUUGAAUCAAGAGGUGGAGUGUGAGAGAUUUUUGGUGGUUUUGUAUGAGAAUUGGGGAUAAGAGGACAAGUGUUGAUGAGAAGCGAAUUGGGCAGUUGUGAUGGUGGGUUCGAACACAGAGAGAGAGAGUGAAGACGUGGAGAGAGAGGAAGAUGAGGAGAGCGAGAAUGUGGAUUGGGUUUUGGAUAUGAGGUGAUUAAAAUUGGUGCAUCUCAGAGGACUAUUGAUGGUGGAUUUGAAGGAAUUUGAAUAUGGUGAUGAAGACGAGGCGAAGAGAUUGUUGUUCUUAUUGUUGUUGAUUUCGAUGGUUCGUCUUCGAGCGAUCCCUGUUUCUCUCUUUCCUCUCCCUCUUGGACCCCUUUCCCUCUUUCUGACUGAGAUAUUAUAAUAUAUAUAUAUAUGUUAAAAUGACUAACAAUAUUUAAUUUUCGUAAUUUAUUUAUUAAUAAAUAAAUAUAUAUAAAUUUAAUAUAUUAUUUAUUUUGACGCUCUGAAAAUACUUGUUCUUGCACUAUUUUAACAAUUGACGCUCUCGCACUUACUCAGCGCCUCCUUCUUGCUUUGUGUGACUAAGAGGAAAACCAUUAUUUUCCUCUCCUCUUUCUUUUCUCAAUUUUGGAAAGAGUUAAUUACACUUUAUCCCCUCAAAAAAAUUUGUGAUCCCCACUUUGGCCCUCAAAUAAAAAAGUUUCACACUUUAAACCUUAAAGUCUUGAAUUUGUUGCAAUUACUAAUUUGACCAACUAGUAUCAUUGCCCAUUUUUUCGACAAAAUAUUACAUGUGGGCGCCACAUGGAUGCUGCAUAAGAUCACAUGGCCUAACCCACCUGCCUCACCCGAUAACCCAGAAUACGACCCAUAAAUCCAUACCUAAUCCCUAAAUCUAAUCCCAGAGGUUUUGAAAUGAUUAAAUCCUAUUUUAACCUCUAAACUAUUUAAUUUUUGGCUAUUUAACUCCUGAACUAUUCAAAUUUUCUCUAUCCAGACCGUCCAAUUAGCAAACAAACGUUAGCAUACGAGUAGAUGACAUUUUGGAGCCAAAAAUGCAGGG
rnacentral:lncRNA from 1 species